rnacentral:rRNA from 1 species
CUGGCUCAGGAUGAACGCUGGCGGCGUGCUUAACACAUGCAAGUCGAACGAAGCACUGAAGAAUGGAGAUUCGUCAAAGUUCUUCUUGACUGAGUGGCGAACGGGUGGGUAAUGCGUGAGCAACCUGCCCUUCAGAGGGGGACAACAGUUGGAAACGACUGCUAAUACCGCAUGAUGUGUUCGGAUGGCAUCAUCUGAAAUACCAAAGGAGAAAUCCGCUGAGGGAUGGGCUCACGUCUGAUUAGCUAGAUGGCAGGGUAACGGCCUACCAUGGCGACGAUCAGUAGCCGGACUGAGAGGUUGAACGGCCACAUUGGGACUGAGAUACGGCCCAGACUCCUACGGGAGGCAGCAGUGGGGAAUAUUGGGCAAUGGGCGAAAGCCUGACCCAGCAACGCCGCGUGAAGGAAGAAGGCCUUCGGGUUGUAAACUUCUUUUAACAGGGACGAAGAAGUGACGGUACCUGUUGAAUAAGCCACGGCUAACUACGUGCCAGCCGCUGC